AUGUUUUUUUUUUUUUACACCAACCUCUUUAUAUAUGAAAAUGGAGAGAAGCGAGAUCAAAAUCAGACACCAUGGAAUCCAAUUCACGCCGUCGAACUGCAGUGCUCCACAAGCUUUGCGCGAAGCCGCUUAGCCAUCUCGUGUCUGAUCCUCACUGUAAGCCGUCAUACUCCUUCUGCACUACAGCACCGUAAAUCGGAUCUGAGCCCAUUGUCAACCUCUGUGCGAACAGCAUCUUCGAUCGACCAUCGUCAGAACUAUGGUUGUUGUCAUUGGUUAUUUGAGAAGAAGAAGCAACAACAAGAAGAACGGGAAUAA